rnacentral:ncRNA from 1 species
AAUCCGACUGUCUAAUUAAAACAAAGCAUUGCGAUGGCCCCAGCGGGUGGUGACGCAGUGUGAUUUCUGCCCAGUGCUUUGAAUGUCAACGUGAAGAAAUUCAAGCAAGCGCGGGUAAACGGCGGGAGUAACUAUGACUCUAAUUGAGUUGCGAGUUGCUCCACCUGACAACCUGUGAGUGAGUGGUGUGCGGUU